rnacentral:rRNA from 1 species
AAGAUUAAGCCAUGCAUGUCUAAGUAUAAGCACUUUAUACUGUGAAACUGCGAAUGGCUCAUUAAAUCAGUUAUCGUUUAUUUGAUAGUACCUUACUACAUGGAUACCUGUGGUAAUUCUAGAGCUAAUACAUGCUGAAAACCUCGACUUCGGAAGGGGUGUAUUUAUUAGAUAAAAACCAAUGCCCUUCUGGCUCCUUGGUGAUUCAUAAUAACUUGUCGAAUCGCAU